AGUUUCAGUAGCUUCACUAGUAUUCAAUGUUAAUAGUGACUGCAAAUAACUUGUAGUCACUAUUCCAAAGUUCUUGGAAAUCAGAGCGAUUCAUGCAGAAAAAAAGGUCUGAAUAGUUGAAGAUCAGUUCAAAUGAUAUUGAAGAAUUCUAAGCUUUCCUUGAAUCUCACCUCAUAGAUUCAAAUUUUUAGUAAAUACACAAGAACUUGAUGAUAAAUGAUCAAAAUUGUUUAUCACACUUACGAAGAAGAGCAUUCUGUCUUUAACCAUGACAAUAGCCGACAUUCCUGGUGGUGCAAUCUGAGGAGCAGCAGGUGGAAUGGUGAGGCACCACUGGAUGGCCCACUUCAGAGAACGGUCUGGAACCUAUAAACAUAACACAUAUUUAACAAAUCUCUGCACACAUUUGCUAUGCUACUUGGAUUAAUGUAAUGAUAUUAAAGUUAGAAAUGUUGGUGUUACUUUGUCUGCAAUUACUUAUUUUCAAUGCAAUAUAACUUACCAUCUCCAGAUGCAUGAUGUGGAUGCAAUCUUUAAAUAUCCGGAGUGGAGCAUUCAGAAUCCUUCCAAAGGCAAGGAGGGCAUUUGGCUUGUAUGGAAUUGACACUACCUGAAAUAUACCAGCAUUUUUUUUUUAUAUUGUUAACAUUUUAAAGUUUCAUUAAAUAGCAAACUUUUUUUUUUUUAAAUCUUAAGCUGCAAUUGAUUACACUCAAUAUUAAAAAGCACACAUAUAUCUAACUUGAAUAAAAAAAAAGCAAUUAGUUUAUUUAAAACAAAGAGGGGGGCAAUUUUUAAAUAAUGUUAUUGAAACCAAUAAAAGUAAAAUAACAUACAAGUUAA